rnacentral:rRNA from 1 species
GACGAACGCUGGCGGCGUGCUUAACACAUGCAAGUCGAACGGAAAGGCCCUGCUUGCAGGGUACUCGAGUGGCGAACGGGUGAGUAACACGUGGGUGAUCUGCCCUGCACUUCGGGAUAAGCCUGGGAAACUGGGUCUAAUACCGGAUAGGAGCCAUUUUUAGUGUGAUGGUUGGAAAGUUUUUUCGGUGUAGGAUGAGCUCGCGGCCUAUCAGCUUGUUGGUGGGGUAAUGGCCUACCAAGGCGGCGACGGGUAGCCGGCCUGAGAGGGUGGACGGCCACAUUGGGACUGAGAUACGGCCCAGACUCCUACGGGAGGCAGCAGUGGGGAAUAUUGAACAAUGGGCGCAAGCCUGAUGCAGCGACGCCGCGUGGGGGAUGACGGCCUUCGGGUUGUAAACUCCUUUCGCUAGGGACGAAGCUUUUUGUGACGGUACCUAGAUAAGAAGCACCGGCUAACUACGUG